rnacentral:lncRNA from 1 species
ACUACAAGAAAAAUAGAAAACGGCGACAGUCAAUUUGAGGCACUAGUAAGUGAACUGUCGCCGCUCUUGUCAAUACUGACAGUUACUACGGCGUUCAUUGAACCGCCUGUACUCUCUGUAAAUUUCGGCGGGUUUUUGUGUAUUGNNNNNNNNNUGAACCGCACCUGUAUUCUUAUUAGAGGGCGCAAUCUUAUUUCCAAUUUUUUCAAUCAAAAUAACAAAAGAAAUUCGCAGCUUUUCAUUCCUCGGUUCGAAUUUCACCGUUCCAAAUCCCUAAAUCUACGAUUCUCACUCACAAGCUUCAUUCCUUAAAUCGCUCGAGCUUCAAUCCCUAAAUCCGCGAUUCUCACUCACAAGCUCCAAUCCCUAAAUCUCUCAAAGCUACGUUCAGAUUCAUCUCAAGCUUUGUUCAANNNNNNNNNNNNNNNNNNCUUUAGGUUAUAUAAUUUGGGAAUUAGGUAAUUGAAAUUUAUUUUUUGGUUUUCACUGAUUGUUGGGAAGAAUUGUGUUAAGUGAGAUUGAUAGAAAGAUUAGUAAAAUUGUGAAUUAAGAAAAAAUUGAUUAAGUAACUUUUCUGCUUAGUGUAGAAAGAAUUAAGACAUAAUUUGCAAUCUUUUCUGUUUCAAAAUUGUGAUUAUUGGAAUAGUGAUGCUAGCUUAUUUCUUGUGCAUCAUAUCAAUUGAGUUGCAAGCUUUUAACAGUGUGUCAAAUUUAACUCUUUUGUAUUGCUGUUGUAGCAGAAGUAGCUCAAUAGUGCGCUAUAGCGCCACUAUAGCGGAUCUGUGAUCUGCUUGAUGCUUAUAGUGUAUAUAUAUUGUUCUAUUCGAUUCUGAUCUAAUUUUAGUGUUGAUUAAUGUGUGUUUGUACAGGUCAUAGUUAAUCACGUUCAAUAUAUAUGGCAUUAUAAAUUUACUCUUUUAAUAUAUGAUUAAUUAUUGGAGGAUGAUAUGAGAUACAAAAUUUGAUAAUCCUGUUUUUGGUUGUUAGAAUCUAAUAAUCCUUAAUAUAAAAGCACUAUAUAUAUCAUCAUAAAAGAAAAAAACUACACAAUUUAUCAACUUAAGCAGAAAAGUUACAACUCAUUACUAAGAAAAUAAAGCC